UGGGGGAUAUUGCACAAUGGGCGAAAGCCUGAUGCAGCGACGCCGCGUGGGGGAUGAAGGCCUUCGGGUUGUAAACUUCUUUUGCGCUGAACAAGGCAUGCCUUUGGGGUGUGUUGAGUGUAGGGGUUGAUUAGCGCCGGCUAACUACGUGCCAGCAGCCGCGGUAAUACGUAGGGCGCGAGCGUUGUCCGGAAUUAUUGGGCGUAAAGGGCUUGUAGGUGGCUGGUUGCGUCUGUCGUGAAAGCUCAUGGCUUAACUGUGGGUUUGCGGUGGGUACGGGCUGGCUUGAGUGCAGUAGGGGAGGCUGGAAUUCCUGGUGUAGCGGUGGAAUGCGCAGAUAUCAGGAGGAAUACCGGUGGCGAAGGCGGGUCUCUGGGCUGUUACUGACGCUGAGGAGCGAAAGCGUGGGGAGCGAACAGG
rnacentral:rRNA from 1 species